rnacentral:rRNA from 1 species
CCUACGGGCGGCAGCAGUGAGGAAUAUUGGUCAAUGGGCGUAAGCCUGAACCAGCCAAGUCGCGUGAGGGAUGAAGGUUCUAUGGAUCGUAAACCUCUUUUAUAAGGGAAUAAAGCGCGGUACGUGUCCCGUGUCUGAUGUUCCUUGUGAAUAAAGAUUGGCUAAAUCCGGGCCAGCAGCCGCGGUAAUACGGAGGAUCCGAGCGUUAUCCCGAUUUAUUGGGUUUAAAGGGUUCGUAGGCGGCCUUUUAAGUCAGCGGUGAAAGUCUGUGGCUCCACCAUCGAAUUGCCGUUGAAACUGGGGGGCUUGAGUAUGUGUGAGGGAGGCGGAAUGCGUGGUGUAGCGGUGAAAUGCUUAGAUAUCACGCAGAACCCCGAUUGCGAAGGCAGCAUGCCAAGCCAUGACUGACGCUGAUGCACGAAAGCGUGGGGAUCAAACAGGAUUAGAUACCCUAGUAGUC